CUCGCCUACAUGAAGCCGGAAUCGCUAGUAAUCGCGGAUCAGCACGCCGCGGUGAAUACGUUCCCGGGCCUUGUACACACCGCCCGUCACACCACGAGAGUUUGUAACACCCGAAGUCGGUGAGGUAACCUUUUUGGAGCCAGCCGCCUAAGGUGGGAUAGAUGAUUGGGGUGAAGUCGUAACAAGGUAGCCGUAUCGGAAGGUGCGGCUGGAUCACCUCCUUUCUAAGGAA
rnacentral:rRNA from 1 species